CGUAGGGUUCAAUGGGUUCAAAGGGUUCUACGGUAAUUACUCAGUGUGCGUGGCUGCACGAACUCAGCUGACACAUCCAACACAGACUUCAAGCAGUUGAUACAGGCUGCUAUUUAGUGGUUGUGACGGCAUUUGAUUGCGUUUUUGUUUUCAUCAUAUAACAAAUUUGGCGUAACCUCUGGUAGGUACACAGAAUACAGCAGUCGGAUCACUUGUCUAGCUUACGUUGCUCCAGUGCAGGCAGCUGUGGAGUUACGUGAGUUGCUAUGCAACCUGCUCCCACUGUCUGUCAUUUUUUCAUUCCUAUCCGUGAAUAGCUUGGAAAGCCAGAUGCAGUCGAAUAUUGGGUUUAUGUUUCCUUGACAUUUAUGUCUCUGUUCUGACUCAGACAAUUUUCUUGUAUAGAAUUUGAGAGGCUUAUUGUGGAUCAUGGAAAGUUAUAUUGUGUAUUUUUUCCUAAUGGCCGCAAUUCUCAUCUACAGAAGUUCCUGUUACAGACGGUCAUGAUGAGUAGAAGAAGGCAACACGAUGAAGCAAAACUCCUCCAUCACCACUACGUCGGAGUCUUCCCAUUCAGUCAUCAUCCAAUUUGCUCCAAAGAAUCAAACACAAACAGACGCUUCUUACAGAUGGCUGUCCUCUAGAAUGAAAAUGCGCACCAACCACCGGCAAACAUCAAAAGCUAAUCCAACCUUUGGCUUUGUGUGGAAAGGUCUUUGGAAACCCUGCGACUGAUGCAAUGUUGGUGCCCUAGAAGACAAGUCAGCACAGUUCAGACGAGCCAGCCAGAGGAGGUCACCGCCAGCCUUGUAUCGAGGUUCCAACGUCCUUCAUCGGGGAACUCGGCAUGGAUAUGCAAGACGACACUCGAAUCACUGAUGGACAAAUGCCUGAAACGGCUGGAAAAAUAGAAAAGAUGGUUACAGAGACUGUUAUUGCUGUUCUUCUUUCAGUACAAUAUUUGCCUUCCAUAAAAUAUUCACAUGUUCCAAUUUAAUAUUCUUGAUGCUGUUGUAAAUAAAAUUUGCACA